CCUACGGGGGGCAGCAGUGAGGAAUAUUGGUCAAUGGGCGAGAGUCUGAACUAGCCAAGUAGCGUGAAGGAUGACUGCCCUAUGGGUUGUAAACUUCUUUUAUAUGGGAAUAAAAUGUUCCACGUGUGGGAUUUUGUAUGUACCAUAUGAAUAAGGAUCGGCUAACUCCGUGCCAGCAGCCGCGGUAAUACGGAGGAUCCGAGCGUUAUCCGGAUUUAUUGGGUUUAAAGGGAGCGUAGGUGGAUUGUUAAGUCAGUUGUGAAAGUUUGCGGCUCAACCGUAAAAUUGCAGUUGAAACUGGCAGUCUUGAGUACAGUAGAGGUGGGCGGAAUUCGUGGUGUAGCGGUGAAAUGCUUAGACAUCACGAAGAACUCCGAUUGCGAAGGCAGUUCACUGGACUGCAACUGACACUGAGGCUCGAAAGUGUGGGUAUCAAACAGGAUUAGAUACCCCAGUAGUC
rnacentral:rRNA from 1 species